rnacentral:lncRNA from 1 species
AAGCACCCAACCUGGACUAAUACGUAUUCUGUUCCUUCUUAAGGAAACAAACGCGCUACUCCAGUGGGGAUGAGGGGGAGGAGGAAUAAGAGGUAGGGGGAGUAUUUCCUCUUUUACCCCCACCUCUUUGUGCUGAAACUUCCAUCAAAAAUGACUUCCUUCCUUUCUAAAUCUUCCUCCAGGACCCACUUUAAGAUUCACACACACCCUGCAUGAAGCUUGUUUCUUCAAUAAAUACGCUUUCCCUCCUGUGAACUCCUUAAGAUGCCUUGUAUCUCUUUUAAAUGCUUCACGUACGGAAGAAGGACAGAUACACAGAUGGAUCUAUCAUGAGCCUCCAGAAACCUAAGCUUCAGGGCCUCCUUACUGGCAUGGCCCCUUCCAAGGCCCCGUACUUAAUUUGUAUUCAUAACAGCAAGUGAAAAUUGAAGACAUAUUUGCUGAUGGACUCCGAAUUCACUAACUUCAAAUAUUUGUUGAUUUAUUAAGCUUGUUUUGUUUAUAGAGAUUUAUAUGAGAAUUUUGAUUACCCAUUAUAUCAUUCCUUUGCCCAAAAGCCUUCAGUAGCUCCCCAUUGCCUCUAAUUAAAUAAAAGCUUCCCAACUUGGCCUUCAAGGCCUGCUUCAGUGUGGCCAAAUUUUAUUUCUCCAGGCUUAUGUCCCAAACUCUCCUUAUUUCCCCAAAACGGAACCCCAUGCUGUCACCCUGGUGGUGGUGUUCACACUGAUUUCUCUGCUCAGAAAGUUUUCUCUUCAGACUCCACCUUUUGACAUCUUAAGAUAGCCUUUAGGCCCUUGUUUCUGGAAAAGAGGUCCCUGGACCAGCAACAUGACCUGAGAGCUUGUGAGAAAUGCAGAAACUCACACCCCGCCCCAGACCUGCUGAAUCGGAAUCUGCAUGUAAACAAAAUCCACAGUCAAGUUUGAGAUAUACUUACUUAGGCCAUGUCACAGGCCACCUCCUCUAAGAGUCUUCAAACUUUUAAAAUCCCUAUAAUGAAAAACGUUUUUCUUCUUUUAAACCUUUUUCAUCCUUUGCUGGUACCUCUCUAUGGGUUCUUCAUUCUGCCUUGAACUGUGGUUCCUUAUAUACAGGUUUCCUUAUCCUGUGAGUUUGUGAACUCUUUGAAGUCACUAACAAUGGAGUCUCAAAUUAGAGAUGAGUUAGUUAACUUGGUAUUUUUCUCAAUGCCCCUGCUGCACCCGCGUCCCCCUCCCCAUGCAUGCCCACACAAACCUAGGUGGUAUUGGUGGUGUUUUAGUUGAUAGAAUUUUGCAAGGAUCCAAAUAUAAACUGACUCUCAAAUGUGCCACGUGUGGGCAGGAAGAUCACUUGCAAUUAUUUACUACUUAAUAAAAUGAGCAUUUGUCUAUUAGUUUAUGUCAUGAAAGUCUUGAAUAGCAUUCCCUUUACCUUUGACUGCCGCCAUAGCGAUAAAAUUAUAUCUUCAGGGGCCGACCCGGUGGUGCAGCGGUUAAGUGUGCACAUUCCACUUGGGCGGAAUGGGGUUUGCUGGUUCGGAUCCCGGGUGUGGACAUGGCACUGCUUGGCAAGCCAUGCUCUGGUAGGCGUCCCACAUAUAAAGUAGAGGAAGACAGGCAUGGAUGUUAGCUCAGGGCCAGUCUUCCUCAGCAAAAAGAGGAGGAUUGGCAGCAGAUGUUAGCUCAGGGCUAAUCUUCCUCAAAAAAAAAAAAAAAAUCUUCAUCCCUGAAUUCCAGAAUAGGAGGAGAGCUGCCCUAAAUUAUUCAAAAACAGGUGGUUGCCUUGAACAUUCUGUAAAAACUUCUGAGGAAGGAUAUUCCAUAAAGUCCUUUGAUUCCAACAACAUACAAUUACAAAAAAGUGUCAAUAUCCCCACAAGAAAUCAAUGUUCACUGCAGAAAGACGUAAAAAUAUACACAAAUCCCUCUUCCCAUCCCCCUGAAAAAUCAGCAUAAUCUUUCUAUCUGGAGGUAACCCCUGAUAAUACUUUGUGACGUUUUCUUCCUAAUGGGAUUUUUCUUGGCCAAUAAAUACGGAUCUAUAUUGUUCUUUUUACUAGUUAUGUAGUCCUUCACUAUAAAGAUAUACAAAUUUGUUUAAUUAGUUUUACAUCGUUGAAUUGUUUCCAAUUUUUUGCUACUUAAUGCUGCAAGGAGCACUUUUCAUCUUAGGAUAAAGUUUUUAAAGUAAAUUUCUGGUUUUAAGAAUGUAUCACUUAAAAUUAGGAUAGGCUUCAAGUGACAGAAAACUCCAAACUACAGUAGCUUAAACAAGAUAAAGUUUAUUUUUCUCACAUAAACAAAAUCCAGAGAUGAGCAACCAGGGCUGGUGUGGCAGCUCCACCGUCAUCUGGACCCCAGGCUCCUUCUCUCUUGUUGCUCCAUGUCCUCAACCUGUGGCUUCCACCUUUCAGCCCAAGAUGGCUGCUUGAGCUCAAGCUGUUAUAUUCACAUUUCAGCCAGCAGGAAGGAGGAAAGGGGGGGAGAAGGAACUUCCUCCGGACCCUUCCUUUGACAUGGAUUUGGCCGGAACUUAGUAUCACAUUUACUCCUAACUGGGAAGUAUUUCAGAGGGCCGUGUGUCCAGCUAAAAAAUAGGGAUUGUAUUACUAUAUAAGAAGGGAAGAACAGAUAGCAGGAUACAAGAGGAGUCUCUGUACAAAAGUUGCAGGUCCUUCUAGUUGUGGCAUGUGGGACGCCGCCUCAACGUGGCCUGACGAGUGGUGCCAUGUCCGUGCCCAGGAUCCGAACCAGCAAAACCCUGGGCCACCGAAGCGGAGUGCGAGAACUUAACCACUCGGCCACAGGGCCGGCCCCUAAGGGAGGUUUAAGAUUGAAUUAUUUGGGCUGCACUUUUACUGUUAUGAUGGGAAUUCUGGAAACGGUUUUAAUUGUUUGAAAGAUUAAGGCCAAUGAGCCACAGACUGGGAGAAAAUAUUUGCAAAAGAUGUAUCUGGUGAAGGACCGUUGCGCAAAAUAUGCAAAGAACUCUUAAAACUCAACUAUAAGAAAAUGAACAACCCGAUUAAAAAAGGAGCAAGAGAUCUGACUAGAUACUUCACCAAAGAAGAUAUACAGAUGGCGAAUAAUCAUAUGAAAAGAUGCUCCACAUCGUAUGUCAUCAGGGAAUUGCAAAUUUAAACAACAGUGAGAUCCCAUUACAUACUUAAUAGAAUGACCAAAAUCCAAAACACUGAUACAUCAAGUCCUGGUGAGGAUGCGGAGCAACAGGACCUGUCAUACAUUGUUGGUGGGAAUGCAAAAUGGUACAGCCACUCUGGAAGACAAUUUGGUGAUUUCUUACAAAACUGAAUACAUUCUUAGCAUAUGAUCGAGCAAUAGCGCUCCUUGGUAUUUACCCAAAGGAGUUGAAAACUUGUGUCCACACAAAAACCUGCACGUGGAUGGUUCCAGCAGCUUUAUUCACAACUGCCAAAAACUUGGAAGCAACCAAGAUGUCCUUCAGUAGGUGAAUCGAUAAGUAAACUGUGGUACAUCCCAGACAAUGGAAUAUUAUUCAGUGUCAAAAAGAAAUGAGCUAUCAAGCCAUGAAAAGACAUGGAGGAAUCUUAAAUACAUAUUACGAAGUGAAAGAAGCUAAUCUGAAAAGUAUCUGUAUACGUAUUGUAUGCAUAUGUAUUGUAUGAUUCCAGCUAUAUGACAUUCUGGAAAAGGCGAAACUAUGGAGACAGUAAAAGAUCAGUGGUUGCCAGAGGCUAGGGUGGAGGGAAGAAUGAAUAGGCAGAGCCCAGCAGAUUUUUAAGGCAGUGAAUCUAAUGUGUAUGAUACUGUAAUGCUAGAUACCUGUCAUUAGACAUUUGUCAGACCCAUGGAAUGUACACCACCAGGAGUGAACCUUAAUGUAAGCUAUGGACUUUGAAUGACAGUGAUGUGUCUGUAGGUUCAUCAGUUUUAACAAAUGUUCCCCCCUGGUGGGGGAUGCUGAUGCUGGGGGCGGAGGCUGUGCGUGUGUGUGGCCAGUGAGUAUAGGGAAAAUCUCUGCAACCUCCACUCAAUUUUGCUGUGAACUUAAAACUGUUCUAAAAUAUAAAGUCUAUAUGUAAAAAAAUUAAGGCGAACACUUAGCCUUUAAUUUAGGAAAAUUUUUCCAGUUAAAAAAAUUUUUCUAGAUGUGAAGCACCCAGGUUUAAAAUAUAUAUAUACGUGUAUUCCAGGUUGUGUGUGUGUGCGUGUGAAAGUAGGUAAGCAUUGCAUCUUCGUCUUCUUGAAGCACAACAAUGAAAUCUUUCAGAAAUCUUUAAAAGAUACUUUAAGAAAAAUAUUUUUUCUGUUCUAUUAAAUAGUCCUUAUCAGACCUUGUGAAUGCAACACAAAUGGCAAUUAUUAAAGCAAAUCGAGUAGAUUUGGCAGGACAGUCAUCAAGAAACACUGGACAAGGAUGAAAAAUACUCCCUUCUGGGAAAAGCUGCUAAACAAUUCAUUUCCAGAGGGUCACAGUUCAGGCUUGACUCAUUUGGAAUGUUUUAUAAAUUGAAAACACUGAAA